GCUCAGGACGAACGCUGGCGGCGUGCCUAAUACAUGCAAGUCGAGCGAAUCGAUGGGAGCUUGCUCCCUGAGAUUAGCGGCGGACGGGUGAGUAACACGUGGGCAACCUGCCUAUAAGACUGGGAUAACUUCGGGAAACCGGAGCUAAUACCGGAUACGUUCUUUUCUCGCAUGAGAGAAGAUGGAAAGACGGUUUACGCUGUCACUUAUAGAUGGGCCCGCGGCGCAUUAGCUAGUUGGUGAGGUAAUGGCUCACCAAGGCGACGAUGCGUAGCCGACCUGAGAGGGUGAUCGGCCACACUGGGACUGAGACACGGCCCAGACUCCUACGGGAGGCAGCAGUAGGGAAUCUUCCGCAAUGGACGAAAGUCUGACGGAGCAACGCCGCGUGAACGAAGAAGGCCUUCGGGUCGUAAAGUUCUGUUGUUAGGGAAGAACAAGUACCAGAGUAACUGCUGGUACCUUGACGGCACGAACCAGAAA
rnacentral:rRNA from 1 species